AGCGAACGCUGGCGGCAGGCCUAACACAUGCAAGUCGAGCGCCCCGCAAGGGGAGCGGCAGACGGGAGAGUAACACGUGGGAACGUACCCUUCGGUUCGGAACAACCCAGGGAAACUUGGGCCAAUACCGGAUACGUCCGAAAGGAGAAAGAUUCAUCGCCGAAGGAUCGGCCCGCGUCUGAUUAGCUAGUUGGUGGGGUAAUGGCCCACCAAGGCGACGAUCAGUAGCUGGUCUGAGAGGAUGAUCAGCCUCACUGGGACUGAGACACGGCCCAGACUCCUACGGGAGGCAGCAGUGGGGAAUAUUGGACAAUGGGCGCAAGCCUGAUCCAGCCAUGCCGCGUGGGUGAUGAAGGCCCUAGGGUUGUAAAGCCCUUUCGGCGGGGAAGAUAAUGACGGUACCCGCAGAAGAAGCCCCGGCUAACUUCGUGCCAGCAGCCGCAGUAACAC
rnacentral:rRNA from 1 species